AAUGUAGAGCCUGAUUAAAGGAUUAUCGUGAUAGGAUAAAACAUGUAAACCACUUACCUACAUUA
rnacentral:tRNA from 2 species